UGAAGAUCCCAUACAACUGGGACUUCUUACAUAACCAUAAAACAGAUAUAGCCUAGUGCAAGCCUCCCCAUGCUGUUCUACCACAGUGCCUCAUCUUUCAACUGGAGGGACCACUUCUGGAGAGGAGAGGGUAGCUCAGUCUCAAUGAUGUAUCUGCUGAGGCUGCC
rnacentral:sRNA from 1 species